CCUACGGGUGGCAGCAGUGGGGAAUUUUGGGCAAUGGGCGCAAGCCUGACCCAGCAACGCCGCGUGAAGGAAGAAGGCUUUCGGGUUGUAAACUUCUUUUGUCAGGGAAGAGUAGAAGACGGUACCUGACGAAUAAGCUACGGCUAACUACGUGCCAGCAGCCGCGGUAAUACGUAGGUGGCAAGCGUUGUCCGGAUUUACUGGGUGGAAAGGGCGUGUAGCCGGGUUGGAAAGUCAGAUGUGAAAUCCUUCGGCUUAACCGCCGAACUGCAUUUGACACUGGUGAUCUUGAGUACUGGAGAGGAAGAUGGAAUUCCUAGUGUAGCGGUGAAAUGCGUAGAUAUUAGGAGGAACACCAGUGGCGAAGGCAGUCUGCUGGACAGCAACUGACGGUGAGGCGCGAAAGCGUGGGGAGCAAACAGGAUUAGAUACCCCGGUAGUC
rnacentral:rRNA from 1 species